CGCCCACAUUUUCGUCACAUGAUAUGAGGCGAUAUGCGAUCGAUGAUGUGAAUUUGUGAAUGAAUGACUCACUGCAUUACAUUGCAAAUGAGCAGGUCGUGUUUUUGUUUUUUAACCGUGUCCGUGACGUGACGACCUACUUAAACUUAUUCGAGAUCAAGUAGAAAUUUUUUGUGUAAAGAACAUCUGUCUGUGAAGCUGUAACAAGUUCAAACAGUAAGAAUUAGGAAGAUCAGAGGAAACAUGAACAGUGCUGGUGGAAGUGUGCAGAGAGCCAGGCAAAGAAUGGCCCAAUUUCCUGCUGCUCUUGCUGAAUGCACCCCACAGGCACUUGCUUAUGGUCGAUGCGUUUCUGGCAAGGACCAUGUAGGUAGAAAUGACUGUGCCAAAGAGUUUCAAGUCUACAAGGAAUGUCUUCAGAAAGUGAUGCGCAAGGUGAAGAAAUGAUAUAUGCUCCUGUAGAGAAGAGAAAUAACGAGCAGGAGCUCUUCCUCUGGGUAUGAUGGUGUGCCACCUACACUCGGGCCUCUGUAGCUGUGGUUUUGCUACUUCGGUUUAUGAUGUCAUCUGGAUUGAAGCUUCAGCAUCAAAACACACAAAUGGCUGUGAGAUUUUACUAACAGCUUAUCAUAGGGAUGAUUGAAUCCCUCCCCUCUAGGAAGUAGAUGAUAAGGCACUUAAAAAGGAAACUGAAGUUGGGGGAUACAUGUAGGUUAAAACAACCUUUGAGAAUUACAAGGCAUCUUUUUAAGUAUUUCAUUUUGGUUGGAGGGGUUGGGUGGAAUAUAAAACCAAAUGAUCCAAUGAAAAUGGUUGUUUUUCAUUUGCCUUUGCAUUAAUGAUAUGACAAAAUGACAUACACAUAUUUGGGUCAAACAUUUAUUUGUAGUUUUAUACAUUCAUGAUGUGUGCAGUGCAUUUUACUCUCCAUAAGACACUCAGAGUUCAAGUUCAAGCUUCUUUCACAAUUCAAUCUUAUGGCCAAUGAAAUUCCUUGAUUUUCUUGUUUCUCCUGUAAUGCUAUUUAGUGACUUUAUGAGUUCAUUCAGAUUAGACCAGGGAUGAUGGAAUCACUGAAUGUUUGCUUACAUUUUGUACAAAUGAGUACAAUUGAGUACAUGUUUUCAUUAGUUGCUACAAACACUUCAGCUGGUUUCAGCUCCCGAGCCAUUUAGAAUAAUCUACAAUUUCUGAUACCUUUACUUUGGUUAUCUUAUACAAUCAUAAAAUCAGUGACACAGGUAUUAAAGAUUAUAAGGAUUUUAGAUCUAAAAUGAAAUGAAUUUAG